ensembl:snRNA U6 U6 spliceosomal RNA
UUACUUCUGUCAGUAAAUACAUUAAAAUGGGAAAGAUAUAGAGGAGGCUGGGAUGUCCCCUACGCAGGGAUUACAUGUAAAUAUCAUUAAGUAUUUCAUACUUUU